GACGAACGUUGGCGGCGUGCUUAACACAUGCAAGUCGAACGGAAAGGCCCUGCUUUUGCGGGGUGCUCGAGUGGCGAACGGGUGAGUAACACGUGAGUAACCUGCCCUUGACUUUGGGAUAACUUCAGGAAACUGGGGCUAAUACCGGAUAGGAGCUCCUGCUGCAUGGUGGGGGUUGGAAAGUUUCGGCGGUUGGGGAUGGACUCGCGGCUUAUCAGCUUGUUGGUGGGGUAGUGGCUUACCAAGGCUUUGACGGGUAGCCGGCCUGAGAGGGCGACCGGCCACAUUGGGACUGAGAUACGGCCCAGACUCCUACGGGAGGCAGCAGUGGGGAAUAUUGCACAAUGGGCGGAAGCCUGAUGCAGCAACGCCGCGUGCGGGAUGACGGCCUUCGGGUUGUAAACCGCUUUCGCCUGUGACGAAGCGUGAGUGACGGUAAUGGGUAAAGAAGCACCGGCUAACUACGUGCCAGCAGCCGCGGUGAUACGUAGGGUGCGAGCGUUGUCCGGAUUUAUUGGGCGUAAAGGGCUCGUAGGUGGUUGAUCGCGUCGGAAGUGUAAUCUUGGGGCUUAACCCUGAGCGUGCUUUCGAUACGGGUUGACUUGAGGAAGGUAGGGGAGAAUGGAAUUCCUGGUGGAGCGGUGGAAUGCGCAGAUAUCAGGAGGAACACCAGUGGCGAAGGCGGUUCUCUGGGCCUUUCCUGACGCUGAGGAGCGAAAGCGUGGGGAGCGAACAGGCUUAGAUACCCUGGUAGUCCACGCUGUAAACGGUGGGUACUAGGUGUGGGGUCCAUUCCACGGGUUCCGUGCCGUAGCUAACGCUUUAAGUACCCCGCCUGGGGAGUACGGCCGCAAGGCUAAAACUCAAAGGAAUUGACGGGGCCCCGCACAAGCGGCGGAGCAUGCGGAUUAAUUCGAUGCAACGCGUAGAACCUUACCUGGGUUUGACAUGGAUCGGGAGUGCUCAGAGAUGGGUGUGCCUCUUUUGGGGUCGGUUCACAGGUGGUGCAUGGCUGUCGUCAGCUCGUGUCGUGAGAUGUUGGGUUAAGUCCCGCAACGAGCGCAACCCUUGUUCACUGUUGCCAGCACGUUAUGGUGGGGACUCAGUGGAGACCGCCGGGGUCAACUCGGAGGAAGGUGGGGAUGACGUCAAGUCAUCAUGCCCCUUAUGUCCAGGGCUUCACGCAUGCUACAAUGGCUGGUACAGAGAGUGGCGAGCCUGUGAGGGUGAGCGAAUCUCGGAAAGCCGGUCUCAGUUCGGAUUGGGGUCUGCAACUCGACCUCAUGAAGUCGGAGUCGCUAGUAAUCGCAGAUCAGCAACGCUGCGGUGAAUACGUUCCCGGGGCU
rnacentral:rRNA from 1 species